GUGGGGAAUCUUCCGCAAUGGACGAAAGUCUGACGGAGCAACGCCGCGUGAGUGAUGAAGGUCUUCGGAUUGUAAAGCUCUGUUAAUCGGGACGAAAGAGCCUAGUGUGAAUAAUGCUAGGAAGUGACGGUACCGGAAUAGAAAGCCACGGCUAACUACGUGCCAGCAGCCGCGGUAAUACGUAGGUGGCAAGCGUUGUCCGGAAUUAUUGGGCGUAAAGCGCGCGCAGGCGGAUCUGCCAGUCUGUCUUAAAAGUUCGGGGCUUAACCCCGUGAUGGGAUGGAAACUACAGAUCUAGAGUAUCGGAGAGGAAAGUGGAAUUCCUAGUGUAGCGGUGAAAUACGUAGAUAUUAGGAAGAACACCAGUGGCGAAGGCGACUUUCUGGACGAAAACUGACGCUGAGGCGCGAAAGCCAGGGGAGCGAACGGGAUUAGAUACCCGGGUAGUCC
rnacentral:rRNA from 1 species